UGAGUGCUAGGUGUUGGGUCCUUUCCGGGACUCAGUGCCGCAGCUAACGCAUUAAGCACUCCGCCUGGGGAGUACGACCGCAAGGUUGAAACUCAAAGGAAUUGACGGGGGCCCGCACAAGCGGUGGAGCAUGUGGUUUAAUUCGAAGCAACGCGAAGAACCUUACCAGGUCUUGACAUCCCAGUGACCGCCCUAGAGAUAGGGUUUCCCUUCGGGGCACUGGUGACAGGUGGUGCAUGGCUGUCGUCAG
rnacentral:rRNA from 1 species